rnacentral:rRNA from 1 species
UGGGGAAUAUUGCACAAUGGGGGAAACCCUGAUGCAGCCAUGCCGCGUGUGUGAAGAAGGCCUUCGGGUUGUAAAGCACUUUCAGUAGGGAGGAAAGGUAAUAGUUUAAUACGCUAUUACUGUGACGUUACCUACAGAAGAAGGACCGGCUAACUCCGUGCCAGCAGCCGCGGUAAUACGGAGGGUCCGAGCGUUAAUCGGAAUUACUGGGCGUAAAGCGUGCGCAGGCGGUUUGUUAAGCGAGAUGUGAAAGCCCCGGGCUCAACCUGGGAAUUGCAUUUCGAACUGGCGAACUAGAGUCUUGUAGAGGGGGGUAGAAUUCCAGGUGUAGCGGUGAAAUGCGUAGAGAUCUGGAGGAAUACCGGUGGCGAAGGCGGCCCCCUGGACAAAGACUGACGCUCAGGCACGAAAGCGUGGGGAGCAAACAGGAUUAGAUACCCUGGUAGUCCACGCCGUAAACGAUGUCUACUCGGAGUUUGGUGUCUUGAACACUGGGCUCUCAAGCUAACGCAUUAAGUAGACCGCCUGGGGAGUACGGCCGCAAGGUUUA